AACGCAUCUUGCGCUCCUUGGCAUUCCGAGGAAGCACGCCUGUUUGAGUGUCAUUAAAUUUCCUCAAAUCUGCCACUUUCCCCCUCCCUGCUUGAGAGGGGGUAUGGGCUGGGUUUGGAUUGGUGGAGGCCUUGCUGCGGGCUGCUUUUGCUUUGAAGCCUGCUCCUCUGAAAUGCAUCACUGGUGAGGGCUGAGAUUGUGCAUGUCUCUGUCACUGUUGGCAUGGUAAAUUCUUUAAGAACCCUUAUGCCGCGAGACGACGGAGAGGGCUUGACUUUGCACCCACCCCCCAAUUUUGAACUUGCGGCGACGCCUUCUGGCUGGCCCUGGUGAACAUUUUGACCUCAAAUCAGGUGGGACUACCCGCUGAACUUAA
rnacentral:misc_RNA from 1 species